AUGUUCGAGUAUCUAAAUGUUGUCAGCAAGAUGUUUGAUAGUGAGGCUGAAGGCUAUGAAUUCUACAACAAAUAUGCUCUUGAAAAAGGUUUUAGUGUGAGGAAAAGCUACGUUGAGUGGGAUGGAUCCAACAAAUACAUAAUUUUAAGGAAAAUUGUGUGUAGUCGUCAAGGGUUUCGCGAAGAGAAGCACAUGAAAAGAAAGAUGGAAGAUAGAAAGAGGAGGCCACGAAUUUUAACUCGUGUUGGGUGUAAUGCUAAAUUGGUCAUUGCAAGACAGGAGGAAACCGGUCGGUGGUUUGUCAAGGAUUUCAUCGAUGAGCACUCUAGCCCCACGGGAUCUUUCUUGUCUGCUGCGUUCGCACAGACGAAUUAG
rnacentral:rRNA from 1 species